rnacentral:tRNA from 1 species
GGGGCGGUAGCUCAGUAGGAAGAGCGUCGCGUUCGCAAUGCGAAGGUCGGGAGUUCGAUCCUCCUCCGCUCCACCA